rnacentral:rRNA from 1 species
GACGAACGCUGGCGGCGUGCUUAACACAUGCAAGUCGAACGGAAAGGCCCUGCUUUUGUGGGGUGCUCGAGUGGCGAACGGGUGAGUAACACGUGAGUAACAUGCCCUUGACUUUGGGAUAACUUCAGGAAACUGGGGCUAAUACCGGAUAGGAGCUCCUGCUGCAUGGUGGGGGUUGGAAAGUUUCGGCGGUUGGGGAUGGACUCGCGGCUUAUGAGCUUGUUGGUGGGGUAGUGGCUUACCAAGGGUUUGACGGGUAGCCGGCCUGAGAGGGUGAACGGCGACAUUGCGACUAAGAGACGGAGCAGACGCCUACGGGACGCAACAGGGGAGAGUCUGACAGAAUGGGGGGAAGCGAGAGAUAGCGGCGCCGCGUGCGGGAAAACGGGCUUCUGGUUAUGAACCACUUUGGAAGUAGACGAGGAGUGAGUGACGGUAAUGAAUAAGAAAGCAACGGCUAACUACGUG